AUGUUUAUUUUAAAAAGAGGGUCGAGCAUCCUAUUUGACAGGGACGGCCCUGGUCUUUACCUCUCACUACUUAAGAACAUGGCACGAUUGUGCAUCCUGAAGCAAUGAUGAAACACAGGGCUAUAUAUCCUUCGAGGAAAUACACCCAUUGCGCAAGUUCUAAUUAAAUGGGAGCAUUUGGAUUUGACUGCAACUACUUGGGAAGAUCAGAGUGAUGUGGAUACAACUGCAAGUUGUCCUAAGAGAGUAGGAAAGUUGGUUGCAAUGUGAUUAUUCCUUUAUUCGUAUUCUCAUCCUUGUUGUUCCUUCUUUCUUUUCCAUAUCAGUUCUUAUGUUUUUGUUCUCAUUCUCAAUGUAAAAGUUAAUAUUCCUCUCAGCAGUUAUACUUUGAGCUGAGCAGUUGGUGAUUAUCAAUAAAACAUUAACCAAUAUUUUCUAUUC
rnacentral:lncRNA from 1 species